AUUGAACGCUGGCGGCACGCCUAACACAUGCAAGUCGAGCGGCAGCGCGAUAUGUAGCAAUACAUAUUGGCGGCGAGCGGCGGACGGGGGAGGAACACGUAGGAACCUACCCUCGAGUGGGGGAUAACCAAGGGAAACUUUGGCUAAUACCGCAUGAACUCGAGAGAGCAAAGCUGCCGCAAGGUGGCGCUCGAGGAGGGGCCUGCGUCCGAUUAGCUAGUUGGUGAGGUAAGAGCUCACCAAGGCGAUGAUCGGUAACUGGUCUGAGAGGACGACCAGGCACACUGGGACGGAGACACGGCCCAGACUCCUACGGGAGGCAGCAGUGGGGAAUAUUGGACAAUGGGGGCAACCCUGAUCCAGCGAUGCCGCGUGAGUGAAGAAGGCCUUCGGGUCGUAAAGCUCUUUAGGUUGGGAAGAAGGGUGAUGGAGGAAAUGCUAUCACUUUGACGGUACCGACAGAAUAAGCACCGGCAAACUCUGUGCCAGCAGCCGCCGUAAUAC
rnacentral:rRNA from 1 species